rnacentral:tRNA from 1 species
GGGGAUUUAGCUUGGUGGUAGAGCGCUUGCCUAGCAAGCACAAGACCCUGGGUUCAGUCCCCAGCUCCG